UACGGAGGCAGCAGUGGGGAAUAUUGCACAGUGGGCGCAAGCCUGAUGCAGCCAUGCCGCGUGUAUGAAGAAGGCCUUCGGGUUGUAAAGUACUUUCAGUCGUGAGGAAGGUGUUAAGGUUAAUAACCUUAGCAAUUGACGUUAGCGACAGAAGAAGCACCGGCUAACUCCGUGCCAGCAGCCGCGGUAAUACGGAGGGUGCGAGCGUUAAUCGGAAUUACUGGGCGUAAAGGGCACGCAGGCGGUUAAUUAAGUUGGAUGUGAAAUCCCCGGGCUUAACCUGGGAAUGGCAUUCAAGACUGGUUAGCUAGAGUCUUGUAGAGGGGGUAGAAUUCCAUGUGUAGCGGUGAAAUGCGUAGAGAUGUGGAGGAAUACCGGUGGGCGAAGGCGGCCCCUGGGACAAAGACUGACGCUCAUGUGCGAAAGCGUGGGGAGCAAACAGGGAUUAGAUACC
rnacentral:rRNA from 1 species